rnacentral:rRNA from 1 species
UACGAAGGGGGCUAGCGUUGCUCGGAAUCACUGGGCGUAAAGGGUGCGUAGGCGGUUGUUUAAGUCUGUCGUGAAAUCCCCGGGCUCAACCUGGGAAUGGCGAUGGAUACUGGACAGCUAGAGUGUGUCAGAGGAUGGUGGAAUUCCCGGUGUAGCGGUGAAAUGCGUAGAGAUCGGGAGGAACAUCAGUGGCGAAGGCGGCCAUCUGGGACAACACUGACGCUGAAGCACGAAAGCGUGGGGAGCAAACACGG